CCUACGGGUGGCAGCAGUGGGGAAUAUUGCACAAUGGAGGAAACCCUGAUGCAGCGACGCCGCGUGGGUGAAGGCGCGUUUCGGCGCGUAAAGCCCUGUCGGCAGGGAAGAAGGAGGACGGUACCUGACUAAGAAGCCCCGGCUAACUACGUGCCAGCAGCCGCGGUAAUACGUAGGGGGCAAGAGUUAUCCGGAUUUACUGGGUGUAAGGGGGGCGCAGACGGCAGCGCAAGCCAGGAGUGAAAGCCCGGGGCGCAACCCCGGGACUGCUUUUGGAACUGCGCGGCUGGAGUGCAGGAGGGGCAGGCGGAAUGUCUGGUGUAGCGGUGAAAUGCGUAGAGAUCA
rnacentral:rRNA from 1 species